rnacentral:ncRNA from 1 species
ACAAAUGCAAUGACGAAAGAUUAGUAAUUCUGAAGCAAUCACAGAGAAGCAAACGUUUGGUGGGAGUUUGCGGUUUGUUAAGAAUGAAUUCACUUUCUAAGCAGAGGUUGGGCGUUACAGUUGUAACAAAAAAUCUUCCGGUUAAUUGACCGUUAUUAAAUUACCGAGUGUACUUUAUUUAAGUAAACAAGGGUGGUACCGCGAAAGCUUCGUCCCUUUA